rnacentral:rRNA from 1 species
CAAUAGCGUAUAUUAAAGUUGUUGCGGUAAAAAAGCUCGUAGUUGGAUUUCUACCGAAGAUAGCCGGUCGGGUCUUCGACCUUGUAUCUGGUUUUGUCUUUGGUAUCCUCAUAGGGAACGUUUCUGCGCUUUAUUGCGUGGUGCGGUAUCUAUGACUUUUACUUUGAGGAAAUUAGAGUGUUCACGGCAGGCAAACGCCUUGAAUAUAUUAGCAUGGAAUAAUAACAUAGGAUCUUCGUCCUAUUUUGUUGGUUUCAAGGGCUAAGAUAAUGAUUAAUAGGGAUAAUUGGGGGCAUCUGUAUCAACGCGUCAGAGGUGGAAUUCUUGGAUUGCGUUGCGACAAACUACUGCGAAAGCAUUUGCCAAGGAUGUUUUCAUUGA